rnacentral:rRNA from 1 species
AGUGAACGCUGGCGGUAGGCCUAACACAUGCAAGUCGAACGGCAGCACAGUAAGAGCUUGCUCUUACGGGUGGCGAGUGGCGGACGAGUGAUGAAUACAUCGGAAUCUACUUUUUCGUGGGGGAUAACGUAGGGAAACUUACGCUAAUACCGCAUACGACCUACGGGUGAAAGCAGGGGAUCUUCGGACCUUGCGCGAUUGAAUGAGCCGAUGUCGGAUUAGCUAGUUGGCGGGGUAAAGGCCCACCAAGGCGACGAUCCGUAGCUGGUCUGAGAGGAUGAUCAGCCACACUGGAACUGAGACACGGUCCAGACUCCUACGGGAGGCAGCAGUGGGGAAUAUUGGACAAUGGGCGCAAGCCUGAUCCAGCCAUACCGCGUGGGUGAAGAAGGCCUUCGGGUUGUAAAGCCCUUUUGUUGGGAAAGAAAAGCAGCAGGUUAAUACCCCGCUGUUCUGACGGUACCCAAAGAAUAAGCACCGGCUAACUUCGUG